AACGAACGCUGGCGGCAGGCUUAACACAUGCAAGUCGAACGCCCCGCAAGGGGAGUGGCAGACGGGUGAGUAACACGUGGGAACGUGCCCUAAGGUUUGGAAUAUUCCCGGGAAACUGGGAGCAAUACCAAAUGUAUCCGCAAGGAGAAAGAUUUAUGCCCUUAGGAUCGGCCCGCGUCAGAUUGGGUAGUUGGUGGGGUAAGGGCCUACCAAGCCGAAAAUCUGUAGCUGGUCUGAGAGGACGACCAGCCACACUGGGACUGAGACACGGCCCAAACUCCUACGGGAGGCAGCAGUGGGGAAUCUUGGACAAUGGGCGCAAGCCUGAUCCAGCCAUGCCGCGUGGAUGAUGAAGGCCCUAGGGUUGUAAAAUCCUUUCGUUGGGGACGAUAAUGACGGUACCCAAAGAAGAAGCUCCGGCUAACUUCGUGCCAGCCGCCGCCGUAACAC
rnacentral:rRNA from 1 species